rnacentral:rRNA from 1 species
UACGUAGGGGGCAAGCGUUGUCCGGAUUUAUUGGGCGUAAAGAGCGUGUAGGCGGCCAGGUAGGUCAGCUGUGAAAACUCGAGGCUCAACCUCGAGACGUCGGUUGAAACCACCUGGCUAGAGUCCGGAAGAGGAGAGUGGAAUUCCUGGUGUAGCGGUGAAAUGCGCAGAUAUCGGGAAGAACACCCGUGGCGAAGGCGGCUCUCUGGGACGGUACUGACGCUGAGACGCGAAAGCGUGGGGAGCGAACAGG